rnacentral:lncRNA from 1 species
UCCUUGAUAUAAUUGGCUUCUCAAUAUUGAAUGAUUUUUCAUAUAUUAGUCAAUUAUCACUUUCUCUAAUGUUUGGUAUAUGUGCAUGCAAAUAAGAUACUCAAUUUGAUGGCUUAUUAUAUUCAUUCUUUAGCUAGUAGUAGCUAGUUUUCCUUACAGCUCUUCCAUGUAUUGUCCAUAAACACCCCUAAAUAUGUCAUAAUAAAUUUAUC